AAAUAAUAACAUCGUACAUGUCGUAUAUAAAAAGGCACAAUCAAUACCAAUCGUAAGUCUUGUAUUAUAUUUCUUGUCUGUUAUUUCCAACUUCGUCGGUGUCGAACUUGACUUAACAAAAUGGCGUCAAUGUGAACUAUAAACAUGGGAUUUUGAAAAAUCAUAGCAAAUUCGUUUUUAUCACCAUUUUCAUAAAACCAAC
rnacentral:lncRNA from 1 species